GAUGAACGCUGGCGGCGUGCUUAAUACAUGCAAGUCGAGCGGACGGACGAGAAUCUUGCUUCUCUGAUGUUACCGGCGGACGGGUGAGUAAUACGUGGCUAACCUGCCUAUAAGACUGGGAUAACUUCGGGAAACCGCAGCUCAUACCGGUUAAUAUUUUGAACCGCAUGGUUCAAAAGAGAAAGACGGUCUUGCUGUCACUUAUAGAUGGAUCCGCGCUGCAUUAGCUAGUUGGUAAGGUAACGGCUUACCAAGGCAACGAUGCAUAGCCGACCUGAGAGAGUGAUCGACCACGCUGGAGCGGAGACACGGUCAAGACUGCUACGAGAUGCAGCAGUAGCGAAUCUUCCGCGAUGGGCUGAAGAAUGACGGAGCAACGGCGCAAGAGUGAUGCAGGUCUUCUGAGCGUAAGAAGCUGUUAUUAGGGAAGAACAUAUGUGUAAGUAACUGAGCACAACUUGACGGUACCUACACAGAAAGCCACGGCUAACUACGUG
rnacentral:rRNA from 1 species